rnacentral:rRNA from 1 species
UACGGGGGGGGGCAAGCGUUGUUCGGAAUUACUGGGCGUAAAGGGUGCGUAGGCGGUCCGCUAAGUUGGAUGUGAAAACUCUGGGCUUAACCCAGAGCCUGCAUUCAAAACUGACGGGCUAGAGUUCUGGAGGGGGUAGCGGAAUUCCUGGUGUAGCGGUGAAAUGCGUAGAUAUCAGGAGGAACACCGGUGGCGAAGGCGGCUACCUGGACAGAAACUGACGCUGAGGCGCGAAAGCGUGGGGAGCAAACAGG